GCGAUCGCCUUGGACAGCGGAGGCUGCGCCAUCCCCAGGCGCUGCGCGGCCCGGCUGAAGUUCAGCUCCUCGGCGACCGCG
rnacentral:tRNA from 1 species